AUGCAAGAUCCCCACAGUGGACAACUAGACCUCCAGGGUCCAGCACUAACACACACACACACACACACACACACACACACACACACACACACACACACACACACACACACACACACACACAGAGCCCCACUGAAAACGAUGAUAUUGGGGAACUUUCUCGCUGCUGUUGUUGCCUUCUACUUCCUCAUCCUCCCUCUCUUCUUAUCCUCUUCCCAUCCUCCCUUCCCCACCGCCCUCAACCCUCCCUCUCUUCUUAUCCUCCCUCAACCUCCCUCUCUUCUUAUCCUCCCUCAACCUCCCUCUCUUCUUCUCCUCCCUCAACCCUCCCUCUCUCCUCCCUCAACCUCCCUCUCUCCUCCCUCAACUCUCCCUACUCCUCCCUCAAUCUCCCUCUCUUCUUAUCCUCCCUCAACCCUCCCUCUCUUCUUAUCCUCCCUCAACCUCCCUCUCUUCUUAUCCUCCCUCAACCUCCCUCUCUUCUUAUCCUCCCUCAACCUCCCUCUCUUCUUCUCCUCCCUCAACCCUCCCUCUCUCCUCCCUCAACCUCCCUCUCUCCUCCCUCAACUCUCCCUACUCCUCCCUCAACCUCCCUCUCUUCUUAUCCUCCCUCAACCCUCCCUCUCUUCUUAUCCUCCCUCCAUCCUUCAUCUCUUCCCUGCCUCCCUCAACCCUCCUUCUCUUCUUCUCCUCCCUCAACUCUCCCACUCUUCUUCUCCUCCCUCAACCCUCCCUCUCUUCUUCUCCUCCCUCAACCCUCCCUCUCUUCUUCUCCUCCCUCAACCCUCCUUCUCUUCUUCUCCUCCCUCAACCCUCCCUCUCUCCUCUCUCCAUCCUUCCUCUCUUCUUCUCCUCCAUCACCCUCCCUCUCUUCUUCUCCUCCCUGAUUCCUCCCUCCCUCCCCCCCUCCCUCCAUCCCUCAACCCUCCCUCUCCUCCCUCAACCCUCUCUCUCUUCCUCUCAUCCCUAAAUUCUCCCUCUCAUCUUCUCCUCCCUCCCGCCCGCCCGCCCUCCCUCCCUCCCUCCCUCCCUCCCUCCCUCCCAUAG
rnacentral:lncRNA from 1 species